GUUUUAUAAUUGAUAACCCACGAUAAAUUAUACCUAAUUUUUAAAUUUAUAUAUCAUCGUUUACAAGAAUUUUAUUAUUUAAUUUUUUCAGAUCAAGGUGUAGUUAAUAUUUAAGCAAAAAUGGGUUACAUUUAAAAUUUUAAAUAAAUUGGAUUUGAAAGUAAGCUCUAAAAUAUGCACAUAUCGCCCGUCGCUUUCGUUAUAAAAUGAAAUAAGUCGUAACAAAGUAGACUUAUUGGAAAAUGAGUCUAGAAUGCAAGUUAAAGCUUAUUAAGCAUUUUAUUUACAUUAAAAAGUCAAUUGUUAAGUACAAUUUUACUUGAAUUUAUGAUAUUAUUAUAUUUAUUUUUAUUUAAAUUUUAAUAAAAUUAUUUUCAUUUUUAUUAUUUUUUCUAAAAAAUUUUAUUAUAGUCAAAGGUACAUUAAUGGAUUUUAUUAAAAUUUAAAAAAGAAAAUUUAAAUUGUUGUACCUUGUGUAUCAGGGUUAAUUAAUUAGACUUUCCCGAAUUAAGAAGAGUUAAUUUUAUUGUAAAAUAAAUAAUUAUAAUUACUUAUUUGAAAUGAAACGUUAUUCGUUUCUUAAUAUAUCUGGUUUUUUAAGAAAAAAAUUUAAUUUUUUAAUCAAUUAAUAAUUAUAUAGGGGAUAAGCUUUUAAUUUUAACAUUAUAAAUUUAUUUGAAUGAAAGAUUAGUAGGAUUAGAAUUUUCUAUUUUUAAAAUAAUGUUAUAAUUAAUAAGUUUUAAUUUUUUAUUAAAAUUUUAAUUUAAAUAUAUUUAAUUAAGAAAUAAUGAUUGAAUUAGUAAGAUUAUAAAAAGGAAUUCGGCAAAUAUUAUUUUCACCUGUUUAAUAAAAACAUGGCUUUUUGAAUAUAAUUUAAAGUCUGACCUGCCCGAUGAUUCAAUGGCCGCAGUAUUUUAACUGUGCAAAGGUAGCAUAAUCAUUAGUUUUUUAAUUGAAAGCUAGAAUGAAUGGUUUGAUGAAAAAUAAACUGUCUCUAAAAUUUUAAUUUUAAGUGAAAAAGCUUAAAUUUAUUAAAAAGACGAGAAGACCCUAUAGAGUUUUUUUAUUGGGGUGAUAUAAAAAUUAAAUUAACUUUUUAUUUAAAUGAUUAAUUGAUCUUAGAUUAUAAGUUAAAAUUUCCUUAAGGAUAACCGCGUAAUUUUUUUUAAAAG
rnacentral:rRNA from 1 species